AUACAUUUUUACAUAUGUACCAGCUUUAGUAAAUAAAACAGUUUAUGUAAGUUUCAAUAGUGAGCUUUUGGAUAAAACGAUGAAAGAUAUUAGCUAUUGAAUAUUGCCUAAAAGAUCUUACCAAUAAAUCAAGCAAUAUUUCACAUUCACCAGAAGAAGUACAAUCAUUGUAUUUAAAGAGUAUAUCAGAUCGAAAACUUUCAACUGAGAGUGCUAUUCCCUUAGGUGCAAAUAAUAUUGAUUGUGAAGUGAACUCUGACAGUAAUCUAAAAAAUUCUGAUUCUUAAUCUUACCCAUUAGAGUCAUCAGAUUCUGAAACAAUUGAUGAUGUCAACAAUGAAAAACUAAAAAAUGAUUUGAUACAGUGGGCAGUUAAGUUUGCUAUAACUGAUGAAGCAUUAGCAUCUUUGUUAAAAAUUUUGGGUAAUUUGUUUCCUGAAUUGCCGAAGGAUACACGCACUCUACGUCAAAGUCUUUUGUACCUGUUACUAAUAUAACUGGAGGACAGUAUUGUCAUUUUGGUAUUAGACAAGAUAAUAGCUUUGGCAAGUAAAUUAGGCUAGACUUUAAAGGAGGCUGUCCGGAAAAUGUCCUUUGCAUUAUUUACUAAUAAUGUCUGCUGUAAACUUAACUGGUCUGGUAUUACCAGAAAUGACAAUGAAAGUAACUUCGUAAAACAAAGUCUAAAAGACUUACACUUGCUUAAAAGAGCUGUAAAAAGAAAUCCUGCAACAACUUCAGCAACUGAAUCAGAUUUUCAAUAUGAGGUUGUGCGUUUUUUGCGUGGUGCAUAAGACCGCAAUGGCGGAUAAAAAGUUAGACAAGACCAAAAAAACAAACAGGCUAAGAAAAAAGUGAUGCCUACUUCAAGUUUUCCAAAACCAUUACAUAAAGACGGCUUUUUUUAGUUCAGAAGAUAAAUAACAUUGUUAAAUUAAAUAAGCAUCUUUAUUUACAAACUUGUUUUCUUUAUUUUACAAUAAUUAAUAUAUUUUUAAAUAUUUUUAUUUUUAAACUCAAUGGAGUAAAGUUUUUGUGCAAUGAGUAUUACUGUUUCCGUGUUUUUCAUAUUCAUUUCCUUUUACAGUAACCUAUUGUAGAUGAGAAUUUAAAUCGUGAUAUUGAAUCUUACCAGAGAAUAAAGUAAGAUUAAUUUUAUUAUUUUGAUAUUAUUUGUUUUAAUGUUAUUUUUGAAAAAAAAAAUCCAAAAUAUAAGUUCUGGAGUCUGUCUACUGUUUGAUUCGUUUGAUUAUAUUAAAUAUAAAUACAACUUUAAGCUUUAAAAUGUAAAGUUAUUGAUGGAAAGUUAAAUUGGUAUUUAACCUAACUUGGUAUUUAACCGGUAAAGCAGAUAAAUAAAAAUUCAACAAAAUUUUUAUUUUACAAGCCAUUAUUUUAAAGUAUUGCUUUAACAAUACCGUUAAAACAUGCUUGUAAUUUAAUGUUACAUUUAUGAUUUAAUAUUUCUUUACAGGAAACUGUUUACCUCAACCAAAGUUAUAUUUCAUAGAAUUAUGUUGACCAUGAUCCAAAUAUUGCCAUGGGCUAAUGGUUUGCAAAAGGUUCACCAUUGCCCUUAAGUAGCUGUGGGUUUUACGGUUUUACUUCCAACCUGGCAUAUAAAUGCACUUAGUAUCUGAAGUUAUUUGUCAAUAACUGGUGAUCAGACUAUUUCAAACGAACACGUUUUUAAGGGCUGAGAAGGUGAAAGUUAGAAGUCUGCAGACUGCAACGUAAAUCAAUUUUCAACACACGGUUUCCUGAAUAUAUUUAUUUUUCGAUUGAAAUUAGAAUAAACUGAACUAAUUGAUAUGUUGAAAAUUAACUAUUUUAUAUUUUAAACGUUCGCUAAACG